AAACAACACAAGAGGCUAAUAUUGCGUUUAGAAGACAUAUAGCAAUUCUUCUAAUGAAGGAGUCAGAAAACGUGGAAGACUACUGCAUAUACUGCAACCUCGUCAACUGUGAAAAGGAAAGUGAGGAUUGCACGAUGGUACAGUGUGAUUCUUGCAAGAGAUGGGCACAUAUGCCCUGCAUUACAGAAGGAACCAAUCAAGACUACUUGACUGAUGCCAAGAAAGAGUACAACUGCAAGAAAUGUGCAUAGUUCACUUCUUU